CCUACGGGAGGCAGCAGUGAGGAAUAUUGGUCAAUGGACGAGAGUCUGAACCAGCCAAGUAGCGUGAAGGAUGACUGCCCUAUGUGUUGUAAACUUCUUUUAUAUGGGAAUAAAAUGUUCCACGUGUGGGAUUUUGUAUGUACCAUCUGAAUAAGGAUCGGCUAACUCCGUGCCAGCAGCCGCGGUAAUACGGAGGAUCCGAGCGUUAUCCGGAUUUAUUGGGUUUAAAGGGAGCGUAGGAGGAUUGUUAAGUCAGUUGUGAAAGUUUGCGGCUCAACCGUAGAAGUGCAGUUGAAACUGGCAGGCUUGAGGAGAGGAGAGGUGGGCGGAAUUCGUGGUGUAGCGGUGAAAUGCUUAGAUAUCGCGAAGAACUCCGAUUGCGAAGGCAGCGCACUGGACUGCAACUGACACUGAGGCUCGAAAGUGUGGGUAUCAAACAGGAUGAGAUACCCUAGUAGUC
rnacentral:rRNA from 1 species